rnacentral:lncRNA from 1 species
AGUAAGCCCACCAUCCCUGCAGCACAAAUUUCCCAAACACUUGGGAAUUACGAGUAGGCUUUGGAGAGGCUGAAACUUUGGCGGCUCUAACCUUCUUGCUUCAACUUUCGCGCAACCUGAAUACUAUGCAUAUAUUUUUGCAGCGACAACAGAGGCUACUCUGUACGUGACUGUUGCUGUUAAGUAUACACAGUAUCGUUUUGUUUGUUUUACCCUGUUAAUUAGUGGUCCUGUUGUACUUUCUGAAGUUAGCUCAAGGGGCCUUCUUAGGGAAAGCCGAGCUAGCUCUACUGUCUUAAGAUGUAUUCUCUGUUUCAAAUAGGGUAUAUCCCUGUUUAAUCAAAAAAAAAAAAAAUAUAUAUAUAUAUAUAUAUAUAUACAGUAUCGAAUAUUAAGCAGAACCUAAUCAUUUUCACUAAUUCUUAUUUCACCUCUAUUCUCAGGAUUUCCCAUCUUACUUCAUGAGUAAAGGGGGUUUCAGUCGAGGAGGGUACUAGGAUUCUCAUGGCUUGUCUCUUGAGCGGCUGCACGAAGUAACUUUCCAUGAAUUUUCAGGAAGUGGAUAUUAAAUCGACUUCUUGGUUUUCUUAGCCCGUGUUGGUACUGCAUUAGAGAAAAUCUGCAUCAAUAUAGACUCGACCGAUAAUAAAGAACAAAUUCGGCAGAAGAUUUUGCAAAUGGAAUGGCCCUCACGGUUAGCUGUCUGUCUUGCUUGAUAUAUAGUCUUGAAAUCAUUUGUGCAAUCUCUGGAUUUAGAUUUGCGCACGGAGUUUUCUUGCUGUCUUAAUGCUAAAUAAG